AGAGAGAGAGAGAGAGAGAGGAUGAUUGCGGAGAAUUUACUUAAAUUUGGGCUGAUAUUUAUAUAGUGGUAAGCAUCUCUCAAUUGUUGAUGAAGAGCGGAAACCGUCUGAUGCUCUGAUCAUAAGGGUAUAAGCUGGGACUUGGGCAACGGCAGUUGCAGAUUUAAGGUGACUUCCAUGCUCAUUUUGUUGUCCGAAACUUUUAAUUUUUG
rnacentral:misc_RNA from 1 species